rnacentral:rRNA from 1 species
UAGUGAUUAAGCAUUUUUGUCCGGAAAGAAAACUUCUGCCCUUAAUACGGCGGGAGGAUGACGGUACCGGAAGAAUAAGCGCCGGCAACUACGUGCCAGCAGCCGCGGUAAUACGUAGGGUGCGAGCGUUAAUCGGAAUUACUGGGCGUAAAGCGUGCGCAGGCGGUUCGUUAAGACAGAUGUGAAAUCCCCGGGCUUAACCUGGGAACUGCAUUUGUGACUGGCGAGCUAGAGUAUGGCAGAGGGGGGUAGAAUUCCACGUGUAGCAGUGAAAUGCGUAGAGAUGUGGAGGAAUACCGAUGGCGAAGGCAGCCCCCUGGGCCAAUACUGACGCUCAUGCACGAAAGCGUGGGGAGCAAACAGGAUUAGAUACCUUGGUAGUCCACGCCCUAAACGAUGUCAACUAGUUGUUGGGGAUUCAUUUCCUUAGUAACGUAGCUAACGCGUGAAGUUGACCGCCUGGGGAGUACGGUCGCAAGAUUAAAACUCAAAGGAAUUGACGGGGACCCGCACAAGCGGUGGAUGAUGUGGAUUAAUUCGAUGCAACGCGAAAAACCUUACCUACCCUUGACAUGGUCGGAACCCUGCUG